rnacentral:rRNA from 1 species
GACGAACGCUGGCGGCGUGCUUAACACAUGCAAGUCGAACGGUGAAGGUGGAGCUUGCUCCGCCGGAUCAGUGGCGAACGGGUGAGUAACACGUGGGCAACCUGCCCCUGACUUCGGGAUAACUCCUCGAAAGAGGCGCUAAUACCGGAUACGAAUCCUGCAGGCAUCUGCGGGAUUGGAAAGUUUUUCGGUCAGGGAUGGGCCCGCGGCCUAUCAGCUUGUUGGUGGGGUAGUGGCUCACCAAGGCGACGACGGGUAGCCGGCCUGAGAGGGCGACCGGCCACACUGGGACUGAGACACGGCCCAGACUCCUACGGGAGGCAGCAGUGGGGAAUAUUGCGCAAUGGGCGAAAGCCUGACGCAGUAACGCCGCGUGAGGGAUGACGGCCUUCGGGUUGUAAACCUCUUUCAGCAGGGAAGAAGCGAAAGUGACGGUACCUGCAGAAGAAGCACCGGCUAACUACGUGCCAGCCGCCGCGGUAA